UGGCCUUACAUGUUCAAGGGAGGAAAGGCCUUCCUGAUAUUCUGGAUUUGGUAAACAAUGAACACCUGCCCCCUGCCAAACAUAAUACUUAACAAUUCUAGCCUCUUCUGCUAAAGUACUCUGACCUCCACCAGGAUGUACUCCAACAGUGACCCACAAUGGCAUUUUCCCUCCCCUGUAAUGGCUAUGAGAGUCAUGACUGGUACAGAUUGAUCCUUUUCUACACAUUACUUAUCUUUGAACUGAGCCUUAGUUUCUCUGCUUUUCCUAUAACAGCUUCCCUCGGGCCUAAGGAAACACCUUGUUUUUUUAUUUGUUUUGUGUUACUGGGGACUGAAUCCAGGGCCUUGCACCAUGCUAAGCAUGAGCUCUACCACUAGAACUCCCUGUUUUAAUGUCUCUUUGAGCACAGCAAAUUAGCAGGUUACCUGUCGUGCACAUUUGGUCCAACCAACAGCCAAUCUCACAUGAACAGCUAACACUUUCAACCCAAAUAACAAUGAUUAUAAGAGGACAUACCACUAUCUUUUGAAUGACUAAGAAAGAACACUGUACUAUGUUUAUAAGAAACCACGGAUUUUAAGAUAUCCCAAGUCUCCGAGAUAUUAUCAAUACAUUUUUAAAGCACA
rnacentral:lncRNA from 1 species